rnacentral:misc_RNA from 1 species
CCGAGUUUUGGGACCCUCUGGGUACCAGCUCCCACCAUUUGUGAACCUUUUUCGUUGCCUCGGCGGACCUGAUGGUACCCAUCCUCCGGCUUUUUGCUGGGGAGCGUCCGCCGAUGGAUUUUCAAACCCGAUUUUAACCUUGAAAUCUGAGUAAAAACAAAUAAAAACA